UACGGGAGGCAGCAGUGGGGAAUAUUGGACAAUGGGCGAAAGCCUGAUCCAGCGACGCCGCGUGAGCGAUGAAGUAUUUCGGUAUGUAAAGCUCUAUCAGCAGGGAAGAAAAUGACGGUACCUGACUAAGAAGCCCCGGCUAACUACGUGCCAGCAGCCGCGGUAAUACGUAGGGGGCAAGCGUUAUCCGGAUUUACUGGGUGUAAAGGGAGCGUAGACGGAAGUGCAAGUCAGAAGUGAAAGCCCGGGGCUUAACCCCGGGACUGCUUUUGAAACUGUGCAUCUAGAGUGCAGGAGAGGUAAGCGGAAUUCCUAGUGUAGCGGUGAAAUGCGUAGAUAUUAGGAGGAACACCGGUGGCGAAGGCGGCUUACUGGACUGUAACUGACGUUGAGGCUCGAA
rnacentral:rRNA from 1 species